CAUUUGAUGCCUACGGCUGGCGGGUUCAAGUGUUUACCGUGAUACCAGAUCCUUUGAAACAUGUUGAGGACAUGAGAAAUCUACCACUGCGUGAUGAUGAUGUGGUCAUAGCAGGCUACCCAAAGUCAGAUCAUCCACGUCAUCAGAAAUCCCAAAGAUGUCUGGGUCUCCUUUUAUUACCAAAACAAAGGCCUCGAUCCAAACCUCACUCUUCAAAGCGUACUGGACGCAGUCGUAAAUGACCAACUGGUGUAUACCUC